CAGUGGUGACGUCAUUUCUGCGCCGCUUCCGGCGCCGCCGCCAUUCCUGUCUCCGGACCGGCCCGGCCCCACCGGAACCGCCCGCGGGGUCGGGCCCGGAUCCGCCAUGGCUGAGGACUACCGGGACCGGGAGAGGCGCUGAGGCGGGUCGCGCCAUGGACCGGAUGAAGAAGAUCAAGCGGCAGCUUUCCAUGACGCUGAGGGGGGGGCGCGGCCCCGAAAAGAGUCUGGGGGAAACCCGAGACGGCCCCAAUAGCGACAGCGAAGCGGGGCCGGAUGAGGGGCGGAUGGGGUCGGAUGGGGAAAGUGACCCCCCCUCGGGGACGUCCUCGGAUGAGGUGGCCUCACCGGUCAGGGUGCGACUGAGGCAGCACCCAAGGGUGCCCA